rnacentral:rRNA from 1 species
CGGCGGGACGGGGUGGAGUAACGCGUGGGUAACCGUGCCUCAUACAGGGGGAUAACAGUUGGAAACGGACUGCUAAUACCGCAUAAGCGCACAGUACCGCAUGGUACGGUGUGAAAAACUCCGGUGGUAUGAGAUGGACCCGCGUCUGAUUAGGUAGUUGGUGGGGUAACGGCCUACCAAGCCGACGAUCAGUAGCCGACCUGAGAGGGUGACCGGCCACAUUGGGACUGAGACACGGCCCAA